rnacentral:rRNA from 1 species
UACGUAGGGGGCUAGCGUUGUCCGGAUUUAUUGGGCGUAAAGAGCGUGUAGGCGGCCUGGUAGGUCAGCUGUGAAAACUCGAGGCUCAACCUCGAGACGCCGGGUUGAAACCAUCAGGCUAGAGUCCGGAAGAGGAGAGUGGAAUUCCCGGGUGUAGCGGUGAAAUGCGCAGAUAUCGGGAAGAACACCCGUGGCUAAGGCGGCUCUCUAGUACGGUACUGACGCUGAGACGCGAAAGCGUGGGGAGCGAACAGG